AAAUUGAAGAGUUUGAUCAUGGCUCAGAUUGAACGCUGGCGGCAGGCCUAACACAUGCAAGUCGAACGGUAGCACAGAGAGCUUGCUCUCGGGUGACGAGUGGCGGACGGGUGAGUAAUGUCUGGGAAACUGCCUGAUGGAGGGGGAUAACUACUGGAAACGGUGGCUAAUACCGCAUAACGUCGCAAGACCAAAGAGGGGGACCUUCGGGCCUCUUGCCAUCAGAUGUGCCCAGAUGGGAUUAGCUAGUUGGUGAGGUAACGGCUCACCAAGGCGACGAUCCCUAGCUGGUCUGAGAGGAUGACCAGCCACACUGGAACUGAGACACGGUCCAGACUCCUACGGGAGGCAGCAGUGGGGAAUAUUGCACAAUGGGCGCAAGCCUGAUG
rnacentral:rRNA from 1 species